UCCACAUCCUCCGCGAUCUUCGCCUUAUCCACUAAAAUAGAAAAAUCUUAUUCCCUUUGUGGAGCUAUCAGAAUCCUUAAACUAUCUCUGAGGCUGUUCUUGAACCAAAUACAGUGCUUGUAUUCAGUUGCCACUAUCCCACGUGCAUAGCGGCUCAGUCGCAAAAACUCAGACUCAUAUUGAGCUACUAAUUUAUCCCCCUAAGUCAAAUUCAGAAACUCUCUCCUCCGGGC
rnacentral:lncRNA from 1 species